rnacentral:rRNA from 1 species
UACGGGGGGAGCAAGCGUUGUUCGGAUUUACUGGGCGUAAAGAGCGCGCAGGCGGUCGUUCAAGUCGCGUGUGAAAGCCCCCGGCUCCAACUGGGGAGGGUCACGCGAUACUGAUCGACUCGAAGGCAGGAGAGGGUAGUGGAAUUCCCGUGUAGUGGUGAAAUGCGUAGAUAUCGGGAGGAACACCAGUGGCGAAGGCGACUACCUGGCCUGUUCUUGACGCUGAGGCGCGAAAGCUAGGGGAGCAAACGGG